CCUACGGGUGGCAGCAGUGAGGAAUAUUGGUCAAUGGACGCAAGUCUGAACCAGCCAUGCCGCGUGCAGGAAGACGGCUCUAUGAGUUGUAAACUGCUUUUGUACGAGGGUAAACGCAGAUACGCGUAUCUGUCUGAAAGUAUCGUAUGAAUAAGGACCGGCUAAUUCCGUGCCAGCAGCCGCGGUAAUACGGAAGGUCCGGGCGUUAUCCGGAUUUAUUGGGGUUAAAGGGAGCGUAGGCCGCAUGUCAAGCGUGCUGUGAAAUGUCCGGGCUCAACCCGGGCCUUGCAGCGCGGACUGGCGUGCUUGAGUCCGCGGAAAGCAGGCGGAAUGCGUCGUGUAGCGGUGAAAUGCUUAGAUAUGACGAAGAACCCCGAUUGCGAAGGCAGCUUGCUGCAGCGGAACUGACGCUGAUGCUCGAAAGCGCGGGUAUCGAACAGGAUUAGAUACCCCUGUAGUC
rnacentral:rRNA from 1 species